CCUCCAUAACUGCAUGGGCCAAUUCCUUAAAACAUACCUUUCUAUGUAUGUAUACUUACAUCCUAGUGGUUCUGUUUCUCUGGAGAACCCUAAUACUGUGUCCAGUAAAAAUCUGUUGUCUGAUGAAGGAAAGAUAAUUGCCUGCCUCUUUCCAUCCCUUCAACACUCACCCUGACUCUCAGAACACACGCUGUUUGGCCUCAUCCUAAUCUCCAUUCCCUCAGUUUCUCUGUUACAUCCCUGCCAUUUAUCCCAUUUAUGAUAUCCCUCCUUCCUUAGGCAGGAUAAACUUGAAGAUACUGUUUUCAUCUUCAGCAU
rnacentral:lncRNA from 10 species